UAUUUCUGUAACAAAAAGAAAUUAAGUUAAUAUAGAAGUAGUAUAUUAAAAGUUUGUGUCGUCACGAUGUGACAUGACCGAUAAAGAAGGAGAAGAGGCAGAAGAAGGAAAUCAUGGAAGUGAGUGAAGGUGAGAGAGACUGAUGCCUGACUCCUAACCAUUUCAAACUUUGGCACUGAAAUCCAUGGCGUUUAUCUUUUUUCUUUUAGAUUUUUGUUUUUUCGUGUAAAUGAAACGACACCCACUUCUUCUAUUCUGAUAACGACUUUUCUUCUCUUCGUAUUUACAUAUACCAUUUCU
rnacentral:sRNA from 1 species